rnacentral:sRNA from 1 species
UGUAGCGCUCUUUUAAGUUUGGAUCCUUC